rnacentral:misc_RNA from 1 species
GAUGAAGAACGCAGCGAAAUGCGAUAAUUAAUGUGAAUUGCAGAAUUCCGUGAAUCAUCGAGUCUUUGAACGCACAUUGCGCCCAUUAGUAUUCUAGUGGGCAUGCCUGUUCGAGCGUCAUUAAGUCCACUUAAGCCCUGCUUAGUGUUGGGAGACUGCUCCAGCGGUGCAACCCUGUAGCUACCCUGCAGCUCCUCAAAGACAGCGGCGGAGUUGUGGUAUCCUCUGAGCUUAGUAACUUGUUCUAGCUUUCGAGUACACCACUUCCCCUGCCGUAAAACCCUUAAUUUUUAAUGGUUGACCUCGGAUCAGGUAGGAAUACCCGCUGAACUUAAGCAUAUCAAUAAGCGGAGGA